UUUUGUACAGAGGGAGAAGAAGACGUUGUCACUUUCGCAGACGAAAGCUGGAUAUUUCCAGCAUAGUUUGAAAGCCAAAAACGAGAGUAGGUUUAACUAAGAAGGACUUUGCCGGUCGCCGGAGAUAUGAUGAGCUUCUCUAUUUCCCCCAAUCCACAUUCCUUACAUCUCACAUCUACAAAUUUUUGUUCCUCAAAUCGUCGCUCAAUCAUCACCUUCUCAUAUCCUAAUUCAGCGGGAGACGUCGGCGCCACCCCCGCCGAGUCCCUCAGGCGAAUUCUUCGUGCUCCGGGAGCUCACCUCGGCCCAGCUUGUUUCGACGCAUUGAGCGCAAAGCUCGUCCAUCGUGCUGGUUUCGAUUUCUGCUUCACUACUGGGUUUGGAAUAUCAGCUUCUCGCUUAGGAUUACCAGACACUGGGCUUGUGUCUUAUGGAGAGAUGGUGGAUCAAGGACAACAAAUAACUGGGGCUGUGCCCAUCCCCGUCAUUGGUGAUGCAGACAAUGGAUACGGUAAUCCUAUGAAUGUUAAAAGGACUGUAAGAGGGUACAUUCGAGCUGGUUUUGCUGGAUUAAUUCUUGAAGAUCAGGUUUCUCCAAAAGCAUGUGGUCAUACACAAGGGCGCCAAGUUGUAUCCAGAGAGGAGGCAAUAAUGAGAAUAAAAGCAGCUGUUGAUGCUCGAAAGGAGAGUGGUUCUGACAUUGUCAUAGUGGCACGAACUGAUUCUCGUCAAGCUGUGUCUUUAGAAGAGUCUCUUUGGAGGGCACGUGCUCUUGGUAAUGCGGGAGCUGAUGUGUUGUUUAUUGACGCACUUGCUUCAAAGGAAGAGAUGGAGGCCUUUUGUGAAGUGUGUCCCCAAGUCCCAAAGAUGGCCAAUAUGCUUGAAGGAGGUGGGAAGACACCUAUACUCAGUCCUAAUGAGCUGGCUGAUAUAGGAUACAAACUUGUGGCAUAUCCUUUGUCUCUGAUGGGUGUUUCCAUUCGUGCAAUGCAGGAUGCUUUGUUGGCUAUCAAAGGAGGUCGGAUGCCCCCUCCGGGAAGUAUGCCUUCUUUUGAAGAACUUAAGGAAAUCUUGGGCUUUAAUGCAUAUUAUGAAGAAGAGAUGCGGUACAGCACCAAGUCUACCAAACCUAACUCACAAAAGAGUUAUUCCUCUGUAAGCAACUCUUCUUACAGCAUACAACAGAGUACCAAAAUCGACCCAGAAAAAAAUAAUCAGAGUGCCCAAAAUCCCAAUGUGGAAGUAGUGAUCCCUGAGAUAUUCAGUUCAAAAGGUUCAUUCUCUGGCAUUUGGUCACGAAAACUGAGAAUCAAAAUAACUGGCCGAGAUGGGUUUGAAAGACUAGAUGUCCGAGUGCCUGCUGGUUUUCUGGAUGGCAUAACAAAUGUAGUUCCAGCCUUGGGAGGCAUAAACAUCAAGGAGUUGUUAGAUGAUGCAGCUCUAGAAGAGGGAGGCAAGCAGUUACUCGACUUCAAUGAUACAAUGGGGGAUAGAAUCCAAGUAUUUCUGGAGUAAUUGAUUUAGCUACUUGCUCUUGCAUUUUGAUAGCAGCAUGUGUUCUAUAUAUCUCUUUUUGGAGCACCAUUGAACUCAUGCGGCAGAUACAUGCGCCACUAAGAGAUAAUCCCAAGUGCAACAAUGCCUUUAGUAAUGUAGCAUCAUACAUGUCCCCGACCAUGUAACUUUCAAAUGUGAUGCUCGAACUACGACCAGUGUUGGAUGGAGUUGUGUGAUGUUGCAAUAUCAAAGAUUGACAACUGUGGUGCAGGUAUAUCGGUGUGAUAUUGACCUAUGUUCAAGGUCGAGACAUUUAGAACAUAAGAUCAAGGUCUCAAGUGCUAAACCUGAUGAGGAAUAUUGAUUACCAAUUUACCAUGUAGCCUAUAUUAUGCGCAUAACAUCAGAGUGUUGAUUUGCACAUUCAGUCCUCAAAGUUGCGUUGUGCCUACAAAUUCCAUCCAUUUCAUUCUAUGUAGAC